rnacentral:rRNA from 1 species
AUACGGAGGGUGCAAGCGUUAAUCGGAGUUACUGGGCGUAAAGCGUACGUAGGCGGUCCGUUAAGUUAGAUGUGAAAGCCCCGGGCUUAACCUGGGAACUGCAUUUAAAACUGGCGAACUAGAGUUGAGUAGAGGGGAGUGGAAUUUCAGGUGUAGCGGUGAAAUGCGUAGAGAUCUGAAGGAACACCAGUGGCGAAGGCGACUCCCUGGACUCGAACUGACGCUGAGGUACGAAAGCGUGGGUAGCAAACGGGAUUAGAAACCCCAGUAGUCC